GCAGGAUUGAAGCAGGGGAACACAGUGUACUCAGCCACGAUUCCACAGCUCUUCCUAGACAAACCUCUGCCCACAAGUUCUUUCACUCAUAGAUGUUUCUCAGUUUUGCAGGACUAUAGCUGAAGUUUGUCACAAAAUGCUGUUCCUUAUGGCUAUAUGGAGAUCUUACUCAUUUGAGAGGAGUUAUCUUAAGAGGGAAUAUGAGAUAAAUGGAGGCAAUCCCCACAUUAUAUUGAAGUACUGCAAUCCGAAAUUCAGUAGAUUGAAAAAACAUUCCUCUUCCACAAUUCUGAAGUAGAGUCAUCUGUCGCAUAUGAGAGCCAAGAUGUAUCUAUGUUUUUAAUACAGAGAACUUAAAAGAAAUCUACUAUUUGAAAGCAGAGCUAGAAUUUUGGUCUAGAAGGAAAACAUUCUCUGGAGUACGAUGAUGUAUUGCACUCUUUUCACAUGUAUAUUAUUGGAAAUCUGUAAUGUUACUGUUAUAUGGCCAGCCAUGUGUUACAUAAAAGGCUGUAUGUUGUGAAUUAUAACAGAGAUGGGAUCCAGAAUGUCCACUGGUAAUGGAGUAUAGCAUUACCGCACAGAGCUUUAUUGCAAAAGUGAACUGCAGUUUUGAUAGUGGAUUCCUCAUUCCUGGAUGUAUUGACUGUAUUUAUUUCUUGGAAGAGAUUAAUGGAAUGUUUAAAGAGAGAUUUUGCAGCCUUCAUCCUUAUUGGUAGAUGCUUUUGUCUUUCUGUCUUAGCUUGAAGCAUCAUGUGUCUUUCAGUGGAGCUACUUGACAGUUGACAUUUUCUGCUUUUACUUCUACUCCAGCUGCUAAUUGCAUAUUUACAAUCCUUCAAUCAAGAGGAAAAGAGAAACACAUUAGAAAAAUUUUCAGUCUGUCAAGCAAACCGUACAUAUAAUGAAACAUCCACUCAUUAAACAUAGAGAACUUUUAUAGCUUUAAUAAUAAAUGUUAUAAAGGGCACAAAGGUAUUAUUAAUUCUAAAGGAAUGCAGGACUGGAAAAACAAUAAGUCAUUUUGACAGUUGCUAUGAAGACUAUUACCAAAUGUUAUGUUUACUUGACUAGGUUCAAUUUAUAAAACAAGACCCACAAAAAAUCCACAGCCUAAUCAAUUGAGAUGCCCUGUUGCAAACCAUAGUUAAUGGAGUGAGGUUCUGAUAUAUUGAUUAAUGAUUGAAUUGUGAUCGUGGAUUUUACAAAAUUAAGAUAAUUAGUAAUGUGGGAUGCUUCUGUACAUUAAACAAAAUGUUGUGGCUAUGAAUUAAAAUGGUAGAAUGAGGUUUUAACACUGCAAACAUUUUUAUUUUAAGUUAAGGAAAUGAAUAUAUCUGAAUGUGUGAUUAUCUUCCUAAACUGAAUUCACAAAGGUAUGUUUAUUAUGCAAAUAUAGCUUUUGUUCUCCUUGCUGUAGUCACUGAUUAACUUCCUCCGUACACUUCUCAUGAAAACUAAAUCUGAGGGACAUAAGAAAUUCUACUCUGUUUUUGAGAGAGCUGGUUGCAGUCCUGAACUAAUCGAGCAGGCUGAGAGUAUGUAUGAUUAUAUAUGAUAUCACUCUGCAGGAGACAGUUCCAAUAUUGUAUCUGCACCCCUCCAUUCAUUAUUGGCAAACAUGUGCCUGGAACUCAUUGCAAUGUUACAAUUGGCAUUUUGAAAUACUGUGAUUUCUUUUUCUUGUAGUCAGAACUUGGAUUCCCCUUAGGAUUUAUGCAGACUGCAUUGUAUUACUCAGUACAUGUUCAUGACUUCCACUGGUAUUAGGAAGAGCUAUGUGCAUACAUUCUGAGUAGAAUAUAUCCCAUAGUGAAUUUCUGAAAAUAUAGCAUAGAGUUACUUUAAAACACGAGGUUAACAAAAUAGGAACUGAAAGACAAGGAAUGGAAAACAAGCAAUUUAAAAACCAUUCACCCACUAGGUCUGAUCCUAUUUCCACUCACUCCACAGUAAACUGUGAGUUACUUUAAGUCAAUGUAAGUUGGCAUAAAGCAAGUAGAAAAUUGAACUUGAGUUUAUUCUUCUCAAAAACCUGAAAUAUAUUUAUCAUUUUGCAGCAGCCAUUGCUCCAGAACCUGAAAAGUGAUAGAUUCACUCAAACAGUUCGUUAGGAUACAAAAUGUUCUUUUAACACUGUAACUGAGUGUGGCAGUAAUAACACUGCAGUAGUCUGAGGCAGUGCUAAAAAGCCUAAGUGAUACUUAGGGCACUGUAAUGGGACUCACAAGCUUGGAUUCCAGCUCUGCCAAAAAAGUAUUGGCUGGUCACUUUCCUCUCAGAGGCUUGAUCUCCAUGUAUUUGAAACAGGGAUACUGAUACUGUUAACAGCUUUAAUACCUACUGACAAAGAGCAGAGAGAGUUAUAUCAAUGCAUUUUUAUCAGUUGUAGCAGUUGGGCAGGAACACAGUAAAUGGAGCACAGCCAACUUCUUCAGAAGCAGCGACUUCUAGUAAGGUAGGCUACUCCUACAGGUCCAAGGCGCCCACAAUCACCGCAUUUGCUACUUAGGAUGCAGGAUGCUUUCCUCCAUGUAAGAAGUGGAAUAAAUGACUGACUUCCUACUGAUACCUGCUCCUCACCCUCAUUCACCAGGGGAAGGGUUAAGAAAGUAUGUUCACCUGAUCCUCCACAGGCAGCUGCAAGCUAUCUUUGGCUCUGCAUAGAGCAGAUGUGGCAUGGCCACUUCCAAAAGUGAAUCUGAGAAACCAAGAUUAGCAUUGCCCUCAGCCGGAUCAAAUAAACCUUUGUCAGAGCCAUCCAAUCAGGGAAAAAUAAUUUUGUUCCAGAAGACAGUGUGGACAUCCUGGGAGCAGAGGGUGCUCUUCCCAGAGGUCAGGCCAUGCUGCUGUACAUGGCCUAUGCGGGGCUGCUUGGAAGAGAAAACACGGAGGUUGGGGACGGUUCAUGAACGAGGUCAAAGAUGGAAAGCUUUUGGCUUCCGGCUGCUUCAUUAGGUUGAUGAAUAAAGAUGAUGAAAAAGAAAAGAAAUGAAAGACCAGAAAAUGAAAUCUAAGAGAAAUCUCUGACUUUGCACACAGCGUCUGUCAGAAAAGGUCAUCUGUUUUACAAGCCAGGAAAUGCAAAAUGAGAACGUCUGUAACUAUUUGCAAAUAGUGUCAAACUUACGGAGCUGAUUCAACCUGAGGAAAAAAUAGCCCUGGAAAAGUGUUGCAAAGCACUGAAAGUGACUUAUUUUUUACAUUUAAAAAAUUUAAUAAGCAUUAUUCCAUUUAAAAAAAAAAUUAUCUAAAUUUGCAUUAGAAGUAUUUUGCAAGUAAACAAAGGACAUCAAAAUGAAAUAUUUCACUUGAGUUCAAACAAAAUGUUUGUUUGGACCAAAAAUAUUGUCUUCU